rnacentral:rRNA from 1 species
UCGGACCGCCGGCUCCGGCCGGCCCGCGCCUGCCAGGGGACCUAAACUCUGUCUGUACAUGCCGUCUGAGUACUAUAUAAUAGUUAAAACUUUCAACAACGGAUCUCUUGGUUCUGGCAUCGAUGAAGAACGCAGCGAAAUGCGAUAAGUAAUGUGAAUUGCAAAAUUCAGUGAAUCAUCAAAUCUUUGAACGCACAUUGCGCCCCUUGGUAUUCCGGGGGGCAUGCCUGUCCGAGCGUCAUUACAACCCUCAAGCUCUGCUUGGUGUUGGGCCCCGCCUCCUGGCGGGCCCUAAAGUCAGUGGCGGUGCCGUCCGGCUCCGAGCGUAGUAAUUCUUCUCGCUCCGGAGGCCCGGGCUCGCGCCUGCCAGCAACCCCCAAUUUUUUUACAGGUUGACCUCGGAUCAGGUAGGGAUACCCGCUGAACUUAAGCAUAUCAAUA